rnacentral:tRNA from 1 species
AGCCCCGUGGCCUAGUCUGGAUAAGGCAGCGCCCUCCUAAGGCGAAGACCGAGGGUUCAAUUCCCUCCGGGGCUG